GGGCUCAUAGCUCAGCUGGUAGAGCAGCACACUUUUAAUGUGCGGGUCCCUGGUUCGAGUCCAGGUGGGCUCACCA
rnacentral:tRNA from 1 species